UACGUAGGGGGCAAGCGUUGUCCGGAAUCAUUGGGCGUAAAGAGCGUGUAGGCGGCUUGGCAAGUCUCGCGUGAAAUCCUGCGGCUCAACCGCAGGCGGUCGCGGGAAACUGCCUCGCUAGAGUCCGGAAGAGGAGAGUGGAAUUCCUGGUGUAGCGGUGGAAUGCGCAGAUAUCAGGAAGAACACCGGUGGCGAAGGCGGGUCUCUGGGCCGACAUUGACGCUGAGGAGCGAAAGCGUGGGGAGCGAACAGG
rnacentral:rRNA from 1 species